UACGAAGGGGGCUAGCGUUGUUCGGAAUUACUGGGCGUAAAGCGCGCGCAGGCGGUCUUUCAAGUCAGUGGUGAAAGCCUGGAGCUCAACUCCAGAACUGCCAUUGAAACUGCAAGACUUGAGUACGAGAGAGGUGAGUGGAAUUCCCAGUGUAGAGGUGAAAUUCGUAGAUAUUGGGAAGAACACCAGUGGCGAAGGCGGCUCACUGGCUCGAUACUGACGCUGAGGUGUGAAAGCGUGGGGAGCAAACAGG
rnacentral:rRNA from 1 species